UCCUGCCAGUAGUCAUAUGCUUGUCUCAAAGAUUAAGCCAUGCAUGUCUAAGUGCAAGCCAAAUUAAGGUGAAACCGCGAAUGGCUCAUUAAAUCAGUUAUGGUUCCUUAGAUAAUACUCCAAUUUACUUGGAUAACUGUGGUAAUUCUAGAGCUAAUACAUGCAAACAGAGUUCCGACUCGAGAGGGGAGGAACGCUUUUAUUAGAUCAAAACCAAUCGGUCGCCGGCGUUCGCGUCGCGCGCAUCCGCAUUCGUAUUUGGUGACUCUGAAUAACCACUAAGCAGAUCGCACGGUCUCGUACCGGCGACGCAUCUUUCAAAUGUCUGCCUUAUCAACUGUCGAUGGUAGGCUCUGCGCCUACCAUGGUUGUAACGGGUAACGGGGAAUCAGGGUUCGAUUCCGGAGAGGGAGCCUGAGAAACGGCUACCACAUCCAAGGAAGGCAGCAGGCGCGCAAAUUACCCACUCCCGGCACGGGGAGGUAGUGACGAAAAAUAACGAUACGGGACUCAUCCGAGGCCCCGUAAUCGGAAUGAGCACAACUUAAAUACUUUAACGAGUAUCCAUUGGAGGGCAAGUCUGGUGCCAGCAGCCGCGGUAAUUCCAGCUCCAAUAGCGUAUAUUAAAGUUGUUGCGGUUAAAAAGCUCGUAGUUGGACUUGUGUCCCACGCCGUCGGUUCGUCGCCCGUCGACGUAACCGCACGGUUAUGUGAGUGGGACGUCCAGCCGGUGGGUCGUCAGGUCGAGCGCUAUGCUGGCCUCGCCCCUUGGCGGUGUCCGCCGCGGCCUCGUCGCGCAAGCGGCGUGUGUCGCGGGGCCCGCCUCGCAGGGUGUCGCUGCGUCGGCGCGCUCGGUGCCGGACCCAUGUUACUCGUCUCGGUGCUCUUAAUCGAGUGUCUUGACGGGCCGGCUCGUUUACUUUGAACAAAUUAGAGUGCUUAAAGCAGGCCAAUUGCCGCCUGAAUAUUGUGUGCAUGGAAUAAUGGAAUAGGAUCUCGGUUCUAUUUUGUUGGUUUUCUGAACCAGAGAUAAUGAUUAAUAGAGACUGACGGGGGCAUUCGUAUUGCGACGUUAGAGGUGAAAUUCUUGGAUCGUCGCAAGACGAACGGAAGCGAAAGCAUUUGCCAAGAAUGUUUUCUUUAAUCAAGAACGAAAGUUAGAGGUUCGAAGGCGAUCAGAUACCGCCCUAGUUCUAACCAUAAACGAUGCCAACUAGCGAUCCGCCGGUGUUCCUCCGAUGACCCGGCGGGCAGCUUCCGGGAAACCAAAGUGUUUGGGUUCCGGGGGAAGUAUGGUUGCAAAGCUGAAACUUAAAGGAAUUGACGGAAGGGCACCACCAGGAGUGGAGCCUGCGGCUUAAUUUGACUCAACACGGGAAACCUCACCAGGCCCGGACACUGGAAGGAUUGACAGAUUGAUAGCUCUUUCUUGAUUCAGUGGGUGGUGGUGCAUGGCCGUUCUUAGUUGGUGGAGCGAUUUGUCUGGUUAAUUCCGAUAACGAACGAGACUCUGGCCUGCUAACUAGUCGCACAUUGACGACAUCCGCAUUCGUGCUGUCGGCGACAAAUAUAAACUCUUCUUAGAGGGACAGGCGGCUUCUAGCCGCACGAGAUUGAGCAAUAACAGGUCUGUGAUGCCCUUAGAUGUUCUGGGCCGCACGCGCGCUACACUGAAUGGAUCAACGUGUGUCUUCCCUUGACCGAGAGGUCCGGGUAACCCGCUGAAACCCAUUCGUGCUAGGGAUCGGGGCUUGCAAUUAUUCCCCGUGAACGAGGAAUUCCCAGUAAGCGCGAGUCAUAAGCUCGCGUUGAUUACGUCCCUGCCCUUUGUACACACCGCCCGUCGCUACUACCGAUUGAAUGAUUUAGUGAGGUCUUCGGACAGUCGCGCGGCGGCGCUCGCAAGGGCCCGUCGAUGUUCGACUGAAAGAUGAUCAAACUUGAUUAUUUAGAGGAAGUAAAAGUCGUAACAAGGUUUCCGUAGGUGAACCUGCG
rnacentral:rRNA from 1 species